rnacentral:lncRNA from 1 species
AUAAAAUGUAUAUCGUGUCGUUUGUAAGCAUCUCAUUUGCUCCUAUUUUGCUGGCUCACUCUCUCUCUCUCACACACACACACACACACACACACACUGCUGAGAGGGAGAAAAGCGUCAGGUCGCGGCAUCAGCUCUCACAAACUCUUUAAACUUUAAACGCUUGACCCGCGCGGAGGAGCGGAACCCUUGACGCCGCCCGGGUGAGUGUCUGCGCGGGAUUCAUUCGCUGCGUUUUCAGGGUUUGACGAUUGCUUUCCUCCGGUUUCUAUGGACUCUGGUCUCGAGAGCUUUGAGGACUUUGAGCUGCACUUGUUCCUCCGCGGCUGGGUCGUUUACAGCAGGUUUAUUCCUCCUCUACACGACAAUACGCAUCCGUGAAGAGCUCUCUGCUCCAUCUUCAGCUGCCUGAGACGUGAACCCCAGAAAGACUCUUAAUGAAUCAGUUUUCGCCGCUCGAUGCCAUGGCGUUCAACCGGUGGCUUUUAUAAUUCUCUCUGAAGGACGGAUCUUCAGGUCUAGUCGAGCGUCGUGGGAGAGUUACAGGUCAGAAAUCCCUCCUCUGUCCCGUGUGCUUUGGGGCUUUCACUCGCUCUCAUUGGCUGAGCUGCAUGCGAUGACAUCACUGCAUGAACCCCGACGGUCGCAUUUUAAACCUGCAUGUUUCUUUUUCCUCAUUUUGAUCUUUUGCUUGAGUUGGAAAUCCUGCUCGUCCAUCCCAAGUGAUUUUUUUUCUCCUUGGUUGUGUUCAGAUUUCUUUCCCCCAC